UCUCCCCUACUGUCAGAGCAAAUCACCAAAAACUUGACAUAGAGUCAGGUCAUCAUCAGGAUCUUGGAAAAGAAUGAGGGCUUUAGCUGCUAUCGGCCAGAAUUUGCCAUGGCCCGUGGAUUCCACCAUUAAAGGCUGAAGAAAUGUGAUAGUCUUGAUUGUAUUUAUUUUGGAUGUUUGAUUAUAGAAAAAUCUAUUGUAACAA